AAGUCGUAACAAGGUUUCCGUAGGUGAACCUGCGGUUGGAUCAUUACAAAAAGUAUAUACCUUAAACUGGGGAGCGUUAUUUCUCCUCGCUUUAUUGUAUCCACCACAAAAACAUAAUGUGAAACGUUUCUGUCUCUGGCGAGCGGGCAGUCUAAACAACUGCUUGUCAGCAGGGUGCUCUCUCUCUCUUUUCUGGGAGUGGCGUCCUGCCGUGGACAACUCGUCAACCCCUUCUAUUCAACAUUUGCUGUACCUAAUUUGUCUGACAUAACCUGUAUAAAUAUACAAAACAACUUUUGGCAACGGAUCUCUUGGCUCUC
rnacentral:misc_RNA from 1 species